ensembl:lncRNA novel transcript
GCCAGCAGGGAGCUCAAUGCCGGCAACCAUCGCCUGCCCCUUGGAGCUGUUGCCUGGGCAGGGGUGGCCUUGGUUGUUUACCGCCGGGGUUGACCAGCUAACGAGGGUUGGUCCCGCUUUCGUAGUGUGGAUUUUCGUUUCCUCUACUUGACUCUAAAUCAAUCCUGUAUAUUCGCAAACUACAAAGAGGCGCAUGCAAAUAGAUACUGUACUGAGGGCAGAUACACGCGCGAGAUCCAGAGGGUGAGUUAACACACAUUCAGUAAAUAUAAAAACAAGUGGAACAUUAUUAACUGAUUUCUGUGAGCCGUAAUUUUAUUUUAUAAUUUUCACGUGGUAAUUGGGGAUAGACAGGGAGCAAGUAGAUUAUGUGUCUAAAAGAUAUGACUAGAAAAAAAAGUCUGGUAAAACUCUCCUCAAAUAACAUAACACAUAAAGUGAGCUAAUUAUUCCCAGACAUUCCCAGGAGGGAAAGAGAUUCUGAUUUUGUUUGGCUGGCUGGUUGUGUUGCUUUAAAAAAAAAUGAAGUAAUCUUUCAGUUGGUGGAUUCGUUUUUUUAAAAGCCUAAAGGAUCAUAGUCUCUAGAAUAAAUAAGGUAGGCAUUUCAUUUUACAUAAGUGUGUCUUAUAUAACAAAUGUUCUCAUAUUUUAAAAAGUGCUCUCUUGACUGUAAAUGCAAUGUGGAAAAACAUUUUCAAUGCAAUAGGCCAUACCUAAAUAUUGAUGAAAAACCUCUAGAUUUUCCUGUAUACAUUCACAUGAAGGAAAAAACAAUGUUGGAGAUAAAGUAUUACUUGAUGGGCUGGGCGGUAUCAACUUGCUAGACUCUGUCCUGUUGAGUAUAUCUGCUAAUGAAAAUAUUUGGUUCAACAUUUACCUAAUGACCUGACUGAGAGAACCACCUCCUUAUUUAGGGAAAAAAUAUCUAAUUAUUCGAAUACACCUCCCUUUUAAAAGGCAUGUGUUACUGUCUUCAGAGAUCCAGAGGUGUACCAUGCAAAUUCACCCACUGUUAUUCUUUCAAUAAAGACCAUAGAAAUAAAAGGUUGGCAAAGACUUACAAUUCAUUCAGCUCCCUAAGUCUUCUCAGUGGUGCCUAUACUACAGAGGUGAACAAUAAAUUUUGCAAAUGCCAGCGGCUACUUGGGCAGAGGAUGGUUACCAAGAAUUAAUUAAAUCUCUGUUUUCUCAUUUCUGUUUAUAAUAUUUCUCAUCCCUUCCUUAUUAAAGUAAUUUACCUUUGAGAAUUUUUACUAUUUUCCUCCUGUAAUUAUGAAACUAUAACGCAAUAGCUUAUAGUCUCAUUUUAUGGUUCUAAAGUGGCAAAGACAAAUACGCAAGCUAUAAUGCCUUACAGCCAAGCAAAGGAAAGGGGUGAUGUUUGGAGUAGAGAAAGCAAGCUUCUAACUCCUCCCUCCAGCUUACAUCCCCAGCCGCUUGGCCCACCAGAGACAAGAACAGGAUGAUAAGCAAUGGAAUGGCAUUGAACUCUCCUGCUGAAGGACUUGCAUUUCAAUGUAGAUUCUGAGGCUGGGUGAAAACUUCUCUGUCACCUUUACUACAGCAUUCUCACCCAUUUAUAUUUCUUUCCCCUUCUACAUCUCUAUUACUGUUGCACUAUGUUAUGCAUUACACCAUGGGAAAAUUAAUCAAUUAAUACAAUAAAAGCUUAAUUUUAAAACCCUGACUCUUUGAACUUAUUUAAUUGAAAACAAAUUCUCAUGCUGAAAUUUUCUAAAAUCAGAAAGAUUCAAAACCCUGUCUUUGAACUGAUACUGCAUGAGUGCCAGAUAUUGGUUAGCAAAGGAAAUAUCAUUGCUCUAUUUAUUGAACACAUAUUCAAUUAGCACUCCCUGUAGGCAGCAAUAUGUUAGGCCCCAGGGAUAUCACAGUUAAGAAAAUUGCUAACUGUGCCCUUGUGAGGCUUAAGAGUCCAGUGAUACAAUAAAAAAAGUUUUAUCACUAAGAAAGACGUUCUAGUAAUAAUGAUGAUCAUGAUAAAUUUCAAGCUUAAAGAAGAAAUAUUUAAUAAUUUAAUUAUAGGCAUUAAAAAGAUUAGGAGUAAAGAAAGACAGAUUAUGAGCCUCUGCUAUAACCAGUCCUUAUGUGAGCUGCUGAAGAAAAGAGGAGAAUGACGGGUUAGUUAAGAGAGUCACAUUUGUUGUAGUAACAGAAUACAGUGGGUACUUUUUAGGCAAGAGAAAAUUUUGGUGAGCCUUAACUUUAAAAAAUAAGCAUCUGUUUUUAUUCAAAGUGAGAAAAAUGGAGAAUAAUAAAUGUUUCUGAGGUUGCAGACACUUCUAAAAAUUACAUAUGUACUAUAUCAUACAUAUGAUUAGCACUGCUGAAUACAUGGACUGAAUCUA